rnacentral:tRNA from 1 species
GGGGCUAUAGCUCAGUUUGGUAGAGCGCUUGAAUGGCAUUCAAGAGGUCAGGAGUUCGACCCUCCUUAGCUCCA